UUCAUGCUGAUCAAGAUAGACCCAAGACUGGGCAAUUUACAAAAGAAAGGAAUGUAACUGGACUUACAAUUUCAGGUAGCUGGGGAAGCCUUAUAGUCAUGAUGAAGACAAGGUGGAACAAA